UGGGGAAUUUUGGACAAUGGGCGAAAGCCUGAUCCAGCCAUGCCGCGUGAGUGACGAAGGCCUUAGGGUUGUAAAACUCUUUCGUCGGGGACGAUAAUGACGGUACCCGAAGAAGAAGCUCCGGCUAACUUCGUGCCAGCAGCCGCGGUAAUACGAAGGGAGCUAGCGUUGUUCGGAAUCACUGGGCGUAAAGCGCGCGUAGGCGGAUAGUUAAGUCAGGGGUGAAAUCCUGGGGCUCAACCCCAGAACUGCCUUUGAUACUGGCUGUCUCGAGGUCGAGAGAGGUUGGUGGAAUUCCUAGUGUAGAGGUGAAAUUCGUAGAUAUUAGGAAGAACACCAGUGGCGAAGGCGGCUCACUGGUCCGGUACUGACGCUGAGGUGCGAAAGCGUGGGGAGCAAA
rnacentral:rRNA from 1 species